ACACGGAGAGGAGGUGGUCCGAGACAUGAAGUACUUCCGGACGCGUGAGGUGGCUGCCCGCUAGCCGCCCGAGACAUCGGACGGACCGCGAAGAUCCGCAGGUGCCCCGCCGGACCACCCGGCACGGGCGGCAGCGAAUCCCCGCAGUCACCGCAGCCCGUGGGAGCCGCGACCUCGUCCCUCGCGGCAGGGCCCCGUCAGGGGUUCCGGCCCACGGGCUGUUCCCU
rnacentral:sRNA from 1 species